AAAAAAAAAAACUACAAUAGUUCUUUGUUCAGAUUUAAUUUCACUUUCUUUAUUUCUCAUGGAAAACUUGGAAUAAAUUUCAACCAUUGAAAAAUUGAAAGAUUUGGGUUUAUUUGACUGAUGGGUGCUAAUUGAAUUUGAUUGUGAUUGUUGUUGAUGAAUUUUUGUGAGAUAUAAUUGAGUUUGUAGCUUGCAGGUUUAUGAUCCUGAGGAGUUUUGGAUUUGAAUUCGUCGCAUCUACUCUGAUAUAUAUCAUAUUAAAUCAUGUGGUAUCCUAAAAGUUUAAGCUGGUUGGAAAUUGUGAAUUUAAUUAGUUAAUAUUCUAAUAGUUUUUACAUACUUCUUUUGAAAUAAGUAGAUGUCCAAGACCUGUACCACUAAUUAUUUCCUAAAUCUGCUUUAUAGUUGUUUUCCCCUAUGCCUUUCUUUUUCUUUCUCACCCCCCUCCCCGCUUCAUCUUCUGGGAUUACUCAUAAGAAGGAAAUAUAUUAGAUGGUUAAAAAUUUGCACUUUACGUACAUGGACUAUUGAAGGAAAGUGCAGAUGGUAUAAAGCAUUGGGCAUAUGGAGGUGACUUUGUGGGGAUAUUCCUAAUGAUUUGAAUUUCUGUUUGAAUGGGAUUAUGUGGCCAGAUCGAACUCCUCAUCCUGCAAUACAUGAAGUUAAGUAUCUCUAUCAACCGAUCAAGGUUUCAUUAGAGAAGGGAACACUUAAGAUAACAAACACCCAAUUUUUUGAAACAAUAGAAGGAUUGGAAUUCAGCUGGCCUGCUAAUGGGGAUGGAUGUGAACUUGGAACUGGAGUUUUAUCUCUUUCACUGAUAGAGCCACAGAGCAGUUUUGGUAUUGGAUGGAAGUCGGGUCCAUGAUCAAAAUUGUGCAUCUUGUGAGAUUGAGAUUAUAAAGAAUGCAUUGCAGAUCAAAACCCGGCCCGUUGACAAGAAUUAUGGUGUGCUUUUACCAGCUUCAUAAAUUUUUUGCCGAAUUCCAUGUUUGUCAAAUUGUGCAUGGCCUUUGAUGACCAUGCGAAAUUAGCCACAAUAUACAAGUCGGAGAAGAGCAACGAGAUGGUAAAAGAGGGAUAUCGGAUUCUUAUUUCUUUAGUAUUUCGAAACCGUUUUAAUUCUUUUUUUGUACAACCGUUUUUAUUAUUUUUUUUAUUAUUAUUCAAAUGGUUUAUUUUUCUUUUUGUAAAUUUUACACUGAAUUCAUAGAAAUAAUGGUGAGAUAGAGUUUCUUAUCAUUAAUUUUGGUGGAAGGUAUGACGAUUGUUCAGGUUACGCUGUAAUUGAGUGAGUAUUUUUUUUUUUUUUUUGUAAACAUUCUUAAUUGAUGGCUGACAUUAGCCUUCAAGGUUUUAUAAUGGAUUAU